rnacentral:rRNA from 1 species
GUGUCAGCCGCCGCGGUAAUACGUAGGGGGCGAGCGUUGUCCGGAAUUACUGGGCGUAAAGGGCGCGUAGGCGGCCUGGUAAGUCUUGUGUGAAAACCCUGCUUUCAAGGCAGGAGGUGCACGGGAAACUAUCGGGCUUGAGUGCAGGAGAGGGAAGUGGAAUUCCAAGUGUAGCGGUGAGAUGCGUAGAGAUUUGGAGGAACACCAGUGGCGAAGGCGACUUUCUGGACUGUAACUGACGCUGAGGCGCGAGAGCGGGGGGAGCAAACAGGAUUAGAUACCCUGGUAGUCCACGCCGUAAACGAUGAAUGCUAGGUGUAGGAGGUAUCGACCCCUUCUGUGCCGGAGUAAACACAAUAAGCAUUCCGCCUGGGGAGUACGGCCGCAAGGUUGAAACUUAAAUGAAUUGACGG